rnacentral:rRNA from 1 species
CCUAUGGGUGGCAGCAGUGGGGAAUUUUGCGCAAUGGGCGAAAGCCUGACGCAGCAACGCCGCGUGGAGGAUGAAGGUGCUCUGCAUUGUAAACUCCUGUCGGCCGGGAAGAAUCGGCGGGGUGCUAAUCAGCCCCGUCUUGACUGUACCGGCAAAGGAAGCCACGGCUAACUCCGUGCCAGCAGCCGCGGUAAUACGGAGGGGGCAAGCGUUACUCGGAAUUAUUGGGCGGAAAGGGCGCGUAGGCGGUCUCGUGCGUCAGGGGUGAAUGACCCG